rnacentral:rRNA from 1 species
UAGUUUUGAUCCUGGCUCAAGGAUAAACGCUGGCGGCGCACAUAAGACAUGCAAGUCGAACGAACUUUAAUUCGAAUGUUUUACAUUUUGGAAGCGGUUUAGUGCGGACUGGUGAGUAACACGUAAGCAACCUGCCUAUUAGAGGGGAAUAACAGUGAGAAAUCAUUUGCUAAUACCGCAUAUGCCAUUAGAUACCACAUGGUAUCAUGGGAAAGGAGCAAUCCGCUAAUAGAUGGGCUUGCGUCUGAUUAGAUAGUUUGGUGGGGGUAAAGGCCUACCAAGUCGACGAUCAGUAGCCGAACUGAGAGGUUGAACGGCCACAUUGGGACUGAGAUACGGCCCAGACUCCUACGGGAGGCAGCAGUCGGGAAUAUUGCACAAUGGAGGAAACUCUGAUGCAGUGACGCCGCGUGCAGGGAGAAGGUUUUCGGAUUGUAAACUGCUUUAGACGGGGAAGAAGCAAGACAGUACCUGUAGAAUAAGCUCCGGCUAACUACGUG